GCCACCAGCUCCCCCACAUACUCGGAGAUGUUGUAGUAGAAGUGGCCCUCUCUGCCCCGCAGGUCGGGAAUCGUGAUGGUCUCCAGCUCUUGCUCCAGAAAGCGCAGCCCCUCCUGCUUCACUGAAGCAUCGGGGAGACCCUCAGCUCCCGCGCCCUCCGCUGGGGCGACCCCCCACUCCCACACGCCCGGAUCCCCCGCCCCGGGCCUUACCCAGCUCCAGCGCCUUGGAGAUCUCAGGACUAUUGGAUAUUAGUUGAUUGGUUGACUCCAUGUGAACUCUCACCUGGUUCUCCACUUACGUCCGGUGCCUGGAAGAGUGUCUGGCACAGAAUAGCCGCUGACUGCACGAUGGGGGUGCUCUAGUUCCGACCUCCCUGGGUGAGAGUGAGCUUUGAAGAUGAAUCCAGCUCUGAACCUGGUCCUUGGCACACAGAGGGCUCCAGACAUGUCUCUCGUCAUGAGCAAUUACCGGUCAGUGAACCCUGGUGACGAAACCCAGAAGAGGGCCCACAUCUCUCCUGUCUCUCCAUUUGCACUGACCCUAGUCCCAGCCAUUUUCAUCUGGUACCUGGAACAUGUGCUACAUGUGCUCAUCUCCUACCUCGCUAUCGCCCCUUGAGUUCUGGUUUCCCUGGUGGCUCAAUGGGUUAAGAUGCAUCCUUUGAAGCUAUCUGCACGAGUUUGAUACCCGGGCAGGGAGCUACCCACAUGGUGCAGCAGACCUCUCCUGAUUUGCCUGCUGCUCCCCUCAGCAGUGUAUUUUGGUUGAUCUGCCUGUUCUGUUCCCCACUCUGUCUCUGGUGAAUCCUUUCACCCCCCACAUCUCUGGCCUGUUUCCCAGUACUUGU